rnacentral:rRNA from 1 species
UUAGAGUUUGAUCCUGGCUCAGAUUGAACGCUGGCGGCAUGCCUAACACAUGCAAGUCGAACGGCAGCACAGGGGAGCUUGCUCCCUGGGUGGCGAGUGGCGGACGGGUGAGUAAUGCAUCGGGAUCUACCCAAACGUGGGGGAUAACGUAGGGAAACUUACGCUAAUACCGCAUACGUCCUACGGGAGAAAGCGGGGGACCUUCGGGCCUCGCGCGGUUGGAUGAACCGAUGUGCGAUUAGCUAGUUGGCGGGGUAAUGGCCCACCAAGGCGACGAUCGCUAGCUGGUCUGAGAGGAUGAUCAGCCACACUGGAACUGAGACACGGUCCAGACUCCUACGGGAGGCAGCAGUGGGGAAUAUUGGACAAUGGGCGCAAGCCUGAUCCAGCAAUGCCGCGUGUGUGAAGAAGGCCUUCGGGUUGUAAAGCACUUUUAUCAGGAACGAAAUACCACGGGUUAAUACCCUAUGGGGCUGACGGUACCUGAGGAAUAAGCACCGGCUAACUUCGUGCCAGCAGCCGCGGUACGCC